CUAAAACAUAGCAUAUUGUCUUAAAUACCAGCUUUCUACUAAUAGAUAGUGUAGUCUUCAAGGGGCAGACUAAAAUUAAGUACCAUUCUCUCAAAAGCUACAGGCAUUUUCAGAGGAAAACAAUUCCUUCUAGUGACAGCUCAUCUUGGUUGUCUCUGUUAAGCAAUGUCCAACAGAGUGAUGAAAACCUACCUGCAUAAUACUGAGAUGAUAUGGAAGGAUCCAGAGGACCCUCCUGCCUAGACUCUCCAGGGUUCCUCCCUGCCCUGAUCCCAAGGCUCCAAUUCAAACUAGUGCCAUUACCACUACUUCAGCAACGCCCUAGUGCCAUUCAGCAAUGCCAGCCUCCAGACUCCACAUCUGUCUCUUCCUGAAGGGUCCUUGCUGCAUGGACCCUGCCCUGGCUCAUUGCCCUCUAAAAAUGUCAGGGCUGUUGAUGGUCUUGCUGCUGGCCCUUAGCUCUGUCCCCUGCGCUCAGACCCGGCAGGAUGGUGGCUGUCUGGGUGGGCAUCACCAGCCCUAGUGCCCUCCCAGCACCCAGCUUCCCAGACCAAAGUGGCCGCUGGCUCUCACUGCCUCCUGAGGAUUAAUUUUUUUAUUGAUAUAUUUCCUUUGCAUGUAAUCCUUACAGUCCUUCACGAGCACUUUGUGUAACAUUGGACAUCCUUAUUUAACAGGAAUUUUAGACAGACCGUGAAGUAAGAAUCAAAUUUUCUUUAUGUAAGUUGUGAAUUCCUGUCAUUAUAUAACUUUAAAUAGUAAAUCAGUCUAUGUAGUGAAAUGCAAGAUAACCAAACCAAUAAAAUAAAUUAUGAAAUUGA